UUGAGACGAAAUAUUAAGUACGUGGAGAGAUUUUAUCAUUAUGUGCUUAGUCUAUGUAAAGGAUUAUUCUUAGUAUAGCAUACAGUUAAUAUACAGUUCAAACGAGAAUUUAUUAUACGAGCAACAACGUCAACCACAAACAUCAAUCAAAAGCUUUUGCCAAAACCCACAGUAAACAUAACUUGACGAUUUGUAUUAUACAUCUCAAAGCCAAAAUGUAUCGUUACACGCAACUUGUGGUUUUUGUCUUUAUUUUGACACUGUCCGCAAGUUUAGCAAAUUCGAGUUCCGUGACGACUGAAGGUUAUAAGUGUCCACGACGCCAAUGUUGGACAGAGGUGGAACCUCGAGACGAAUUUUGUUCAGAAAUUUUCAGAUAUGAAUUUACUACUAAAGAACCGACAAAUGUGUUCUGUUACUGUUGUCGACGGCUUUAAUACAAUAGUGUAAUAUGAAUAUCAACUCUAGAAACUCACUCAAGUCAAAUAUUACAGUAUUAUCAUGGAACAUAAUAAAACUGUGAGCUAUCGGAAUCUCUUUGUUCGAUGAAAAAUAAUAUCCUUUACCUUAAGAUAAACUGUAAAUAUUUUUUUAUAAUAACUGUAAAAACUAAAAAAAUAUUCAGCUUACUAUAAAAGAAUUUUUGUUUAAAUAAUUUUAAUAUUAUUACUCCUUAUUUUAAGCAAGUCACCUAAAAUCCAGAACAUAGUUUUAUGUAUUUUUGUUUUUUAUGAUUAAAAAUAUAAUAUACUACAUUGGAGUA